rnacentral:rRNA from 1 species
UACAGAGACUGCAAGCGUUAUUCGGAUUCACUGGGCGUAAAGGGUGCGCAGGCGGUUGGGUGUGUCAGAUGUGAAACCCCGAGGCUCAACCUCGGAACUGCGUCUGAAACUACUCGACUAGAGUACUGGAGAGGGUAACGGAAUUCACGGUGUAGCAGUGAAAUGCGUAGAUAUCGUGAGGAACACCAGAGGCGAAGGCGGUUACCUGGACAGUUACUGACGCUCAGGCACGAAAGCAUGGGGGAGCAAAAGGG